AUUGAACGCUGGCGGCAGGCUUAACACAUGCAAGUCGAACGAGUGGCGGACGGGUGAGUAAUGUCUGGGAAACUGCCCGAUGGAGGGGGAUAACUACUGGAAACGGUAGCUAAUACCGCAUACCAUCAGAUGUGCCCAGAUGGGAUUAGCUAGUAGGUGGGGUAAUGGCUCACCUAGGCGACGAUCCCUAGCUGGUCUGAGAGGAUGACCAGCCACACUGGAACUGAGACACGGUCCAGACUCCUACGGGAGGCAGCAGUGGGGAAUAUUGGACAAUGGGCGCAAGCCUGAUGCAGCCAGGCCGCGUGUGUGAAGAAGGCCUUCGGGUUGUAAAGUACUUUCAGCGAGGAGGCGUUACCCGCAGAAGAAGCACCGGCUAACUCCGUGCCAGCAGCCGCGGUAAUAC
rnacentral:rRNA from 1 species